UUUGCAUGGUCUAUGUUCAGCGUUUAACUAUCCGUCUUAUUUUUAAAAGAUUAUAAUUAAUAAUUUUGUUAUUACUAGAUGAUAAAACAUAAAUAAUAAUCUAUGUGCGAUUUAUUUCAAAUUUUUUAUAAAUAUUUUAAAUAAGACGAAUGAUUAAACGUUGCACACAUACCCAGCUGACCACUUAGA
rnacentral:pre_miRNA from 1 species